GACGAACGCUGGCGGCGUGCUUAACACAUGCAAGUCGAACGGAAAGGCCCUGCUUUUGUGGGGUGCUCGAGUGGCUAACGGGUGAGUAACACGUGAGUAACCUGCCCUUGACUUUGGGAUAACUUCAGGAAACUGGGGCUAAUACCGGAUAGUAGCUCCUGCUGCAUGGUGGGGGUUGGAAAGUUUCGGCGGUUGGGGAUGGACUCGCGGCUUAUCAGCUUGUUGGUGGGGUAGUGGCUUACCAAGGCUUUGACGGGUAGCCGGCCUGAGAGGGUGACCGGCCACAUUGGGACUGAGAUACGGCCCAGACUCCUACGGGAGGCAGCAGUGGGGAAUAUUGCACAAUGGGCGGAAGCCUGAUGCAGCAACGCCGCGUGCGGGAUGACGGCCUUCGGGUUGUAAACCGCUUUCGCCUGUGACGAAGCGUGAGUGACGGUAAUGGGUAAAGAAGCACCGGCUAACUACGUG
rnacentral:rRNA from 1 species